rnacentral:rRNA from 1 species
GUGCCAGCAGCCGCGGUAAUUCCAGCUCUAGGAGCGUCUGUGUGUGUUGCUGCGGUUAAAAAGCGCGUAGUCGGGCAGACAGCCAGCAAUAAAGGUGCGGUCUCUUGCCGUGCAUUGUGCUGGAACGAAGGCCUAGGGACCGGAGAGGGGCAAUGGUAUUCGGCAGCGAGGGGUGAAAACCAGUGACCUGUCGAGGAGCAACAGAGGCGAAAGCGGUUGUCCGUUACGGGUCCGACGAUCAAGCGCGUGAGCAGGAGUAUCGAAGUCGAUUAGAGACCGACGUAGUUCCUGCAGUAAACGAUGCCGACGGGGUCGCAGGAUACUGUGGCCCGGGGGAAACCGAGUGUAUGGGCUCCGGGGAUAGUACGGGCGCAAGCCGGAAACUUAAAGAAAUUGACGGAAGGACACCACAAGGAGUGGAGUGUGCGGGUUAAUUUGACUCAACGCGGGACAACUUACCGGAGGCAGGCAGUAUCGUGUGAAGGGGCAUGGGAUAAAGAUGCCUGUGUUCCCGAGGAUGCUGCCUUGUGGUGCAUGGCCCGUUCUUAACACGUGGGGUGACCUGUCUGGUUAAAUCCGAUAACGCGUGAGACCCUG